UACGGAGGGGUUAGCGUUGUUCGGAAUUACUGGGCGUAAAGCGCACGUAGGCGGAUCAGAAAGUUGGGGGUGAAAUCCCGGGGCUCAACCCCGGAACUGCCUCCAAAACUUCUGGUCUGGAGUUCGAGAGAGGUGAGUGGAAUUCCGAGUGUAGAGGUGAAAUUCGUAGAUAUUCGGAGGAACACCAGUGGCGAAGGCGGCUCACUGGCUCGAUACUGACGCUGAGGUGCGAAAGUGUGGGGAGCAAACAGG
rnacentral:rRNA from 1 species